UUCUUUCUAAUUUACUUUGGUGAGAUUAAAGGGCUUUGGGUGGGAGGGGUUGGCGUGGGGGGAGGAGGUGAUCUCCACAGCCCUGAUCGCUGGAAUAUUGUUGAAAAUCUACUUCUGCCAUGGAGAGAUUCCAAGCACUGAAAAUAAAGUGACUGGUGCUUCAAGAGAAAAAUGGGUGAUGCUAUUUUAGAGAUGCUGGAAGCAUAAAUGGUUUUGAACACUUACUUUUUUUUUUUCUUCUGUAAUCAAAGCUAGAUGUGUAUAUAUAUAUUUUUCCUAUCGUGAGAAAGCAAAGACCUUAGAGCACACUUCUUCAAAGUCUUAAGAAUGCUGUAAAAAUGUGUCCAAGUAGAUCUUUGCAAUAAAAUUUUAUCUUGAAAAUGAGAACCAAAACUGGCAUAUCAUGAGUUUGGAUCAUUUACCUUCUGAAUAUGACAAUCCUAUCAUGUAACAGUUGUGAAUGAAUUUCUGAUGAACUGAGGGGCACUUAUAGCUGGUCCCAGUAGAAAACAUCAGGAGAACAGGACUUAAAUUGUCAUAGUUGUUUCUUUCUGGGUAAGGUAUGUUAUGUGUAUUAUAGGCAAAUAGCAAUAGCUGAAGAUGGAUUUUGGAAGCGUUGCAGAUGAAACUUAAAAUACUUAGGCAUCUUGAUAGAAGGAGUCCCUCAUGGCAACUGCUUACCUUGCGCAUUUCUUUCCUCCACCAGCAGGGUCGAAACUUUCUUUUCCUGAGUCCACGACGCAGUGCUUACAAAGGAGCAGAGAAGUUGAAAGAGCUUAGUGGGCUAUAGAAGGAUUUCCAGUUUAGUCACUCGUUAGCAAGAAGUUGAAGGGCAUGCCAGUUCUAGGAGUGACAUCGAUAGAGAAGAAAUGUAACUGGUUGAGUGGAGGUAUCUAUAAUAAUUUCUGGUAUGAAAAUAUAUUUAGUUAUUCCCAGGUGUACCUUACUUGGAAUACAUUUCUUUGAUAGCACUCAACUGCACCCAACUUUGACUGCAGAGAAGUUAUUCUUUACCCUUUUUAAUUCCAAGUAACGAGUGUGAAAUGCACCAGUACAUGCUUACAUGACAGUAUUCCAACAUACCUUGAGACAUUUCAAUGUGAGCAUGCAGUGGAUGCAUACCUAACCUGCAUUUUAACAGGAUGUGGAAGUAACAUAAAUUUUGUGACAGGAAAGAAAAUGUAAUGUGGGAGAACAUUCAGCUGUCUUAACAACGAAUGCUCUCUCUUUCAGUUCCUUGCUGUGCUUACGUUUCUGCAGGAGUUGAAGCAGUGAAACCUGCACAAACUGAAAGACCUGUGUUUAAAAAUAGUUCAGUCAUUCUAGGAGUGCACCCUUUCUCAGUGGGGGUACAGAAUAAACUGCUGUACAAGCAUAAUGGAAGUCUUGCUUAGUGUGAAAUCUCAGCUUUCGAAAGCGAGAAGGUGCUCCUAGGCUUGGUGGCCAGCAGAGUGGUAGCAAGUAAGUAACAGUAACUGAGUUCUGUGCUGCCUUCUGUUGCUGUGUGCUUUUCAGCUUGAGAUCCUACAUGCUUGGAAUGCUAACAAGUUACGUGCUUAUAUUAAUCAUCUCUAUUCAAACAUCUUGUAUUUUUUAGGAAGCUCCCAGUUAUGACUGAAAAUAUGUAGUACAGGGCAAAAACAUACUUGAACUUUUUUAUAUAUUAAAAUGUGUAUCAUGCAGAUGCUGAGCUGGACCUAGCCCUGGAUACAGCUGUGUGUUGAGGCUGAGCUUUGUUCUUGAAUAUGGGUGUAGAAUAAUUCGCAUGGAUUCUCUGUUGGCAGCUGCUGAAUCUGUUGGUAGGUGACAAUGUCUGAAUUUAUGAAUCUUCUGUGCAAUAGAGACUGCAGUGUAGAAAUAUGUGAUAGGACCUCCAGGGGGAAGCAUAGGACAGGAAAGACCAGACUGGUUUCUAGCAGAGCCAGACUUUCUGAUACACAGAGCCUUUGCUUGUGAUAGCAAUAAAUCUUUUCUGUACCAAAUUGAGACUACAUAAUUUUCAUCUUGAAGAAUAACACUGUCAGGCUUUAAUACCAAAAGAUUGGAAAGGACUCAUUACUCAUGGAGAUAAGACUACCUGAUGAAAAACGAGAUGCAGUAUGUGAUUAAACACUUAGACCCUCCGCUAAUUAUAUUCCUGGUUCAGUUCAGUCAUUACAGCAAUUCAGUGCAGGUGUGUGCUGUCUGGAAGAAGAGGAGUAAUGGUAGAAUUGAAAGAAGCAAAAGUCCAGAGCUGUGUAAAAAAAAAAUAUAUAUAUAUAUAUAUAUUAUAAUAAUAAUUUUUUUUUUUGUAAAUUGCAUAAAUAAAACAUCUUAGAAAUGAUACUUGUCUGCACAGCAAUUGGAAAUCAAGCUCCAAAAAAACCCUUUUUUUAUUUCUUCAGUAUGUAAGUGCCUGGUCCCUUUUAUCUACUAAUAAUGUUUCAGCUUCUAUUCUCAUCUUGUCUCACAUUACCCCAGAAGAAUGUGCAUGGUGCCAUAUGAACUGAGCAAGAUGGUAAGUUAAUCGUCUUUAUACUUCAGAAGUUUGAUUGCAGGCUUUUUUGGAUACAUUUCAUUCCUGGUGUGGAUGUGGCAGGGUGCUGUACUGCGCCACAGCAUCAAGUGAAAGCAUCCUGCCAAUGUUCUGAAAUGCAUGAAGAAAUGAGAAAGAAUGCAUUUCCCCUGGGGGAAUCCCAGCCUGCAGGAAUGCUGUGAUACUGAAGAGCUCAGGCAGCUUUGCAGCGUGGAGCUGCUCUUCAGCUUCUGAAUGAUGCAUCUCAUCAACUGGGGUCCUAACAGGAGGGAAAGGGCUUCUGAGAGCACAGCCAUUGGACACAUCAUAGCUUCUUGUGCUCUGUACCACAUUCUUACCCUUAUUAAAAUAAUACCCAGUAUAAUCAAACUGUAUUUCUUCAGUUACAUCAAGGCUAAUUUUGGCCUGGUGCUUUCAGCAUUAGAGUAGCUCAGACAGACUUCUUGAUGGAAGUAUUUUUGAGUGCUUUUUACAAUCCUGCACACAGAUUUCAGUUGUAUCCUGAUGUAAGAAGUUUUAGCACCCCAGCACUGUGCUGUAGCAGAUCAUGUUGGCCUUGGGAUGGCUGAGGAUGGCUUUUCAAUGUCUGCAGACUACAUGGGGGAAAAAGAACACCAAAAAGAAACUGCCAAGUGGAGAAAUGAGGACACAGAUCAUAGGAAUCUCUCUUUUCUUUUCGAUAUUAUUGUUGUAUUUUUAAAUAUACUUUUCUGAGUGUUUUGUAGGUUUCCUGGCUCUGUCCCUAUCAAUCUCUCAUAUGAUUCAUCGUGCACUGCAGUCAGAAGGCUUGACUUGCAGUUCUCUUUUGCUUUAGAGCUAAUUCUCCAUGCCAACAUUCACAACAACAAAAUUGAAUAGGGAAGCGAAUAUUUCACUUUUUCUUGAGUUUCAAUUGAAGUGUUUAGGAAGUUGGACCUUGAUUAGCUUUUGGUAGAGCUGAAAUAGAGGGAUAGUUAUAUAACUGCCCAGCUGUUUGUGAGAAAGCACCUUCAUUUGGUGCCAUCUGAGUCAUGUCAGUGUCUUCUGAGAGGUGCCUGCUGCUUUGCAGGGCUCAUCUGGAGUAAUUGGGAGACUUCAUAAUACCAUAUGAUUUAAAAAAAAAAAUAAAGGGAGAGCAAAAUAAAAAUCAAUCAUCCUUUGCCUUAACAGAUUCCAGUUUCUGCUUUUUGGUUGUUCUGUUUUCAUUUUUGUUUUUUGCAUGAUCUGUGUUGAGAGAAGAAGAAAACAAAAGAAUAGCCCUGGUGUUUUGUUUAUCCCUGAUGUAGGGAAGAACUGAAUAAUACUGCAUCUUCUGGAUAGAGAAGGGCAGGCAUUUGGAUGCUGAAGGUUGAUAAGAUACAGUGCAACUUCUGUCUCUUGGCCUUUAGUGCCCUUUGCAGUGCUGGAAGUUUUGUUUUUGUUGCAUGUUUCUCAUUUUGGUGUUUUGAUGGUAUUCCAGAUGGAAGUAUUAGGGAGGGGAAGACGAACAUCUAGACUGGAGAAGAAAGUUAGUUAAUUUAUCAGACCCUAAUACCUAGGAAGGAGGAGAUGGGGUUCCUUCCAUAAUGAUGUUCCUGUGGUGGGAUGUAAUGAAGGGAAGCGAGCAGGAAUCCCUGAGUGGAGCUGCUGAGGUCCUCUUAAGCCAAGCUGGUUUGUCAUGCUCCAGGUCAGAUAAAUCUGUAUUGUCAGGUUGUGCACAGAAAGGUCUUAAGCUGUUUCCAGAGUAGAUAUGGCCCUGAAAGCAAUGGGUUCGUACACAUCUUGUGCUGGAUUCCUGAGGCCUGGCUCUGAGCUGGCUCAGCACAGGGCUGAUGCGUGGCUGACUUUAGCCCUGCUCAGAGGGCUGACUGCACGUGUUAAGGAGCACCUUGGAGAUCUGAUUCCCCUGAAGGAAUGCUCACGUGGAGUAAUGAAUGUGCUUUCUGGAAUUCUACAGUCACGAGGAUUCUGACAGCAGUGACGUGCUCUAGAAGCAUCAGUGUCUGCUGGUUCUCCUAUAGUUGUUAACUGCUUAUUUUCAGUUGUCAAAUCCUUUCAUUCUGUCUCUUCUGUAUACUGGCUCUCUUCUGAGUUCAGGUGGCUCCUGCUGCCACUCAGCACGUGCUGCAUCAGGUGGGAAAGGUGGGCCUGGCAUUCAGAUUUGCAGCAGUUCCUCUGCCUGCAGCUCCUGCUUCAUUCACAGAUGUGCAAAGCCUGGCACACGUGGGGCCUUUCCAGUUUCACUCAUGAGCUCAGUGAAAGGGUAUUUCCUGCUCUUAGCAAAAUCCUAACAAACCAAGAAAUCAGCAGUCAAAACUACAUAGCUUUGCUUGCAACUUUUCACCUCUUGAUAUUCUGUGGUCCUUUUCCAUUUGGGCUUUGACCCUUUCUUUUUGAAAUGGGCCUUCCAGCCUCCUCAUCGUGUUCACAAGAAGUGAAAGUGUGACAGUCCUUUCAUUCCUUGCAGUGGGCUCCUGGUCACGAAGCACCGUCUGGCACUGCUCACUUGGCCUUGAGGUGGGGCUGCCUGGGCUGUGAGGUGUUGCUGCACAUCUGGGGUGUGCAGUGGUUCCUGAUUCCUCUGCUCAGAUCUUCAUGCUUCUCAAGUGCAACCUUUAAUGCUUCUGGUGACAGCUUCAUCUUCCAGAACAGUGCAGGAGACAGCAGACAAGAUGACAUCGAAGCUUUUCCUGCGCAAGGGUAUUGCACACUUGACUGGUUCAUUGACAUGGUAUCAGUUUGGGUUUUUUUGUUUUUAAAUGCAAAUUACACUUCUUGUAACCCAAGAAUUCACUUAGUCUCGGAUUUCAGCUUGUUCUGAGCAAGCUUUGCAGCUUCAUGCCUGCAGGCUGAUGGUAGAAGUCCAUCAACCAUUGUUUCUUGCUGUUACUGUUGGUCAGUUCCACUUGAGAUGAGAGAUUUUCUUCUAAAUGUCUUAACCUCUGCUGAGCCAUGGCAGGAUGAUCAGCCUGGUUGUGUAUGGCUGUGUGAGCCUUCAUCUCCUUGGGGUUCAAGCUGUUGAGGUAGCUUCUGAAUCUCAACAUUCUUUGUUUUUUCCCAAAUUAGUUUGUGUUUCAUCUCUGCUGCUUUUACCAUUAGGUUUAGAAGAUGCUCUCAGGGCAGUGCAUUUCUGGCACGUAGCAUUGCCAAGGCUUGGGUAAGCAAUGAGGAACUUUGUAGCCUGGUUGUUUGUCAUUCCUCUGAAUACACUGCAUUCAUUCCCAUCUUUGCCUGUUCCUAGUAGGUUUAUCUUUUUUCUGUGCUUAAAAAAAAAAAAUCCCAAUGUACAACAGGAGAAACUUAAAAAGAAAGCUUUAUCACUGAAGAAUGGGGAUAUUUAUUUACUUACACUGGACCAAGUUGAAGACAUGAUAUUCAAGGACUAAAGUGCAAAAUAGCCUAAAUACCUUUGGCUGGAAUAUCCCAUUUCUUUUAGUAAGCUGGCGCAGUAACUUGGGUUACCUCUGCCUCCCUUGUUUCCAUAUUUAAUCCUGUAUUUUAAUUUGUAGGUAUUUGUGGAAAUGGACACUGUUUAUUUUGAAGAACUGCUCAAGAUCUUUCCAAAUAUAAUUCAGUAAUUUGGGAUAUUUGAUGGCUGUUGUGCUUCAUUUCAAUUACCUUUGGCUUUAUUCUCCCAGAGAGACGGCAGAAUAAUCUGACACUUAGCUCAAGUGGCAUUUUCCUUAAACUGCCUGUGUAUUUGACAGUUGAUUAGCUAUUGAUACAGUAUUAUUACUGGAAAUCUCCAUAAAACUCAUCACAUUAAUGAGGAGGACGGCCCAGUCUUUGCUGGGAUUUUUGUGUCUGUUUUGUACACGUUAUUUUUAAGGAGAGAUCACAUUUCUGCAUUCAUAUCUGCUGACCUCCCACUUCUUUUCCUUGGUGUAGGACUGGAGGGCCUGAACUCUGCUACAGCGGCUUUCUCUUCUUUAAAGUGUAAUGAUCUCAACUCUGGUCUGUUUUUAGAUGCUGAAGGACAGAGACUGUGAUGAGCACUAACAGCGAUGUGCAACGUGAACUGAUGGCAGGUAUUCAUAUCUAGUCCUCGUAGUCUGAGAUAAAUAUGGAAGCCAUAGGUGCAGAGUGACUUCUGUGGAUUCCUCUGUUCUGGACGAAUAUUUCAGUGUUGAUAGAAACCUUUGUUUCCAUAGCGUGUCCAAGAGCUGUUCUGCAGUGGAGAAGGUAAGUUCUACGUGUGGGCAGGUGGUGGACAACCAAACCCUUAAUCUGUUCUGAUUUUUUUUUUCUCUGACCCAGUCCAUAGAGUUUUAUUGGACAGAUGUUGGACUGAUCAGACAGCUGCUGAAACCAUGAAGAAUUGGGGCAUAUUUUUAUUACUGGGGAGGAAAAGAGAUAUCUAAGAUUUUUAGCCUUUCCACGAUGCUCUCAGACACGUUGUUGAAUUUUAAGGUGUUUCUGUAUGGAUCCAGAUUGCAAUAUGCUGUAAUUACAUUUGUUGUCUUUUGAAGCACAGACUCAGGUGCAGUUCAGUGUCAUUCUCUGUUCAUUUUCCUGAUUGAGGAUUACUGUCUCUGCAGUGCUUGUUGCUUGAAACUAUUCAUUUGCCAGUGUUUAUUUCUGUCUUACAAGUUCAGCUGGGUCCUCUUUGCUUUAUGGUGAGGGACUGCUGCUGGCUAUUAGCUGUGCUUUAAAGACAAACAUUCCUAUUUUUAUUCAAGUUCAGACUGUGUUUGCUCUGAAACCCAGUGGAAGUGCUAGCUGUAUCUCAGCUCCCUGAUUUGGGUUGAUAGGACUUGCCUGUGAAUCUUGUUCUGACAGAUCAUUACCUCCCUGGACUCCUUCCUUAGCUAACUUAUCAAAGAAUCCAGGUAUGCUUUGCCAGGUAAAACCAUGUGUAGACAGCAGGGAUUUGUUGUUCAUGGGAGGAGGGAGGGAGGAGGAAUUCGUAGCAUGGAAACAUGAAAUCUGAAUCAGUUUGAAUUUAAAAACAAAAAUCUAGGAGAUUCAGUAUCUUAAUGCUGUGGGUUGGAAGAAUGCUGGAGAAGCUCUUGAAUAUGAGAUUAUUUUUUUUAAAGUGUCAAUAAAAUUGUGUGCAAUCUGUGCUUUUGCAGUAAAUAGAAACUGUACCAUGGAUUAGCUCAUCUUCCAGAAGAACCCCAGCAUCUGCCUGCCAUGGCAAGUGAUCUGAGGAGCUCCAGGUGGGUGUGCUACAUGUGUAUCGAGUCUUCUCUCUAGAUGGUUUACUCUAUGAACUGCACAUGCAUUGUAUAAUUGUUUCCUACCUGGUCCUUUUGUAAUGUCUGUUUGUUUGUUUGUUUUUCAAAUAAACAUCUUUUGAAGUCAUUACUUUGUGGGUGUUUUCCAAGGGUCUGAGUGUUCUCUUGUGUUGCUAGUCCUAGCUGAUGUAUUUAUUCUCUUUGGAUCAAACAGGGAAAAGGAGCAGAGAAAGUCAUAAUUGCUUCAGUUGGGUGCAAUUUUAUAUUAAGCUGCCGUGGCAAAAUGCAAACCCUUUUUUCUAAAGACUUUCUGUUUCGAGUAUUUUUUUGGAGAGCCCGUAGCAGAGGGAACAUAAUUGUAAGCAAACCUGAAGAAACUUCUCACGACACAAAAUUUAUUCUGAAUUUACAUUUGGAAAGCAGUGAUCAAUUAGAGCUUAACAUCUUGUGACUUUACUCUCCUGUGAAAUACCGAAUCCUGUGGGAACCUUCAGCUGUAUGAAGUGGAGUAGCCCUGCACUUGCAGGAAUAAUAAAGGUUUGGCUUAAUCUUGGCUCAUUAGAUCCCCCCACCUGGGAGCAAUGAGAAGAGCAGAACACACCCAGUGGUCUUUAACACCUCGCUGUCUUUGAAGUCUUCCAUUGGAUUUCUUUUUUUCAGGCAUGAGGGGGUAAAGGUGCCCUGUGUGCUGCCAUGGGUGCUGAUCUAUGUGUGCAUGUAUGUAUUUACUGAGGAAUUCCUUUCUAGAAAAGUAUUCAGGCAUGUCGUGUUGUUCAGCCUGGCUUCGUUUUUCAUUUCAUAUCUGCAGUCAUUUCCAGAAUCACUCUGAUGCUCUUUUUUCCCCUAUGCUUAUUCCUUUUCACAUGCUAUGUGCCAGUCCUGCUGAGCAGCAAGUGCUUCCUAAUAAACAGCUACCACAGAUGCUGGCACAAGACUGUUUUGGAGACCUGACCAUGAAAGCAGAAUUACAGUUAAUCCUGUACCAAACUUGUUAAGCAAAUGAAAUGAAAUAAAAUCCAGAUGUUCUGAA